rnacentral:rRNA from 1 species
GUUUCAGCAGCCGCGGUAAAACGUAGGUGACGAGCGUUAUCCGGAUUUACUGGGCGUAAAGCGUGUGCAGGCGGGACGAUAAGUGGUGUAUGAAAGCGCCUGGCUCAACCAGGCGAGGUUAUGCCAGACUGUCGAUCUAGAGGGAGCAAGAGGGACAUGGAAUUCCGGGUGUAGUGGUGAAAUGCGUAGAGAUCCGGAGGAACUCCAGAGGCGAAGGCGGUGUCCUGGUGCUAACCUGACGCUCAGACACGAAAGCAUGGGGAGCGAACGGGAUUAGAAACCCCGGUAGUCC